CAACGAAUCUUCCCCAAUGCCGGAAACGGUGAGGGAGCGACGCCGCGUGUGGGACGAAGUCCUUCGGGAUGUAAACCACUGUAAGGGUCAUGAAUGGUUAGGGGCUAAUCACCCGAAGCUUGAUCUGAUCCCUAAAAGGGGCGGCUAACUCUGUGCCAGCAGCCGCGGUAAUACAGAGGCCCCAAGCGUUACUGAGAAUCACUGGGUUUAAAGGGUGCGUAGGUGGUCCGUUAAGUCUGUUGUGAAAUCCCCGGGCUCAACCCGGGAAUUGCUUCGGAUACUGGCGGACUUGAGGCCGGUAAGGGUCACGGGAACUGACGGUGGAGCGGUGAAAUGCGUAGAUAUCGUCAGGAACGCCGGUGGUGAAGACGGGUGACUGGGCCGGUUCUGACACUGAGGCACGAAAGCGUGGGGAGCGAACG
rnacentral:rRNA from 1 species